rnacentral:rRNA from 1 species
GACGAACGCUGGCGGCGUGCUUAACACAUGCAAGUGGAGCGACGAACCAGGGCUUGCCCUGGGGCAGAGCCGCGAACGGGUGAGUAACACGUGGGUUACCUACCCCGAUGACCGGGACAACCCGAGGAAACUCGGGCUAAUACCGGAUGUGGUCUUCGGACGAAAGGAAGCUUCGGCCUCCGCAUCGGGAUGGGCCCGCGGCGCAUUAGCUUGUUGGGUGGGGGUAACGGCCUACCAAGGCGACGAUGCGUAGCUGGUCUGAGAGGACGAUCAGCCACACUGGGACUGAGACACGGCCCAGACUCCUACGGGAGGCAGCAGUGGGGAAUCUUGCGCAAUGCGCGAAAGCCUGACGCAGCGACGCCGCGUGAGGGAUGACGGCCU